CCAACACAUUAAUGACAUCACCCACAAAGAUUACAAUGGCACCUAAAAAUAUUUGUUCUUGUUCAGGAUUAAUCACCCUCUUGUAGUACCAGCCGAAACCAAGUACACAUUCAUAUAUAGAAGUGAGCCACAAGAUGUUUUUGUCUUUCACCUCUCGAAGUGAGCAUCCUAAAUGGGAUCGAUUUCAGAGCAGCCACAAAGAUAGUCAAUGAAAAUGGCCUAAAGAAAUAAGGUCCUUUGUAUUGUUGGGAAAUUAGGCAAUUUUUGGUUAAGCAAAAUCUAGAUUAGCAUCACCACAUGAUUAUUGACAUGAAAAAUCGCGUAUGGAAAAGUAGGUAUAUCUGGCACAUACACAUAUAGACAAGUUGACACAUCGCAAUAAAGGGAGG
rnacentral:lncRNA from 1 species